AGGGGGUACAGUCGGCGAUUGCACCUGUAGGUGUCCCCAUCAUCGGCUGGGCAAUCGCUGUGAAGCUCCCUGCAGGGACGAUUCCUCAUGCUCGGGCCUGGGAUUCAGUGCUUGCUACAACCUCUACGUCUUCCGGAACUGUCCCCUGCUUUGCCGACGCUGCAGCGAGGAGCCCAGCUCGGCCCAGGACUGGUGGCAGGUCGGCGAGAACCGGGGCGAGGGGGCCAGUCCCAGGACCAGGCCGUGGUCUCGGCUCUGAAGGAGGGAGGCAGCGCCAGGGGGCGGCCGGACC